UCCUUCGGGAGGGGAUUAGUGGCGAACGGGUGAGUAACACGUGGGCAAUCUGCCCUGCACUCUGGGACAAGCCCUGGAAACGGGGUCUAAUACCGGAUACUGACCCGCUUGGGCAUCCAAGCGGUUCGAAAGCUCCGGCGGUGCAGGAUGAGCCCGCGGCCUAUCAGCUUGUUGGUGAGGUAAUGGCUCACCAAGGCGACGACGGGUAGCCGGCCUGAGAGGGCGACCGGCCACACUGGGACUGAGACACGGCCCAGACUCCUACGGGAGGCAGCAGUGGGGAAUAUUGCACAAUGGGCGAAAGCCUGAUGCAGCGACGCCGCGUGAGGGAUGACGGCCUUCGGGUUGUAAACCUCUUUCAGCAGGGAAGAAGCGAAAGUGACGGUACCUGCAGAAGAAGCGCCGGCUAACUACGUGCCAGCAGCCGCGGUAAUACGUAGGGCGCGAGCGUUGUCCGGAAUUAUUGGGCGUAAAGAGCUCGUAGGCGGCUUGUCACGUCGGUUGUGAAAGCCCGGGGCUUAACCCCGGGUCUGCAGUCGAUACGGGCAGGCUAGAGUUCGGUAGGGGAGAUCGGAAUUCCUGGUGUAGCGGUGAAAUGCGCAGAUAUCAGGAGGAACACCGGUGGCGAAGGCGGAUCUCUGGGCCGAUACUGACGCUGAGGAGCGAAAGCGUGGGGAGCGAACAGGAUUAGAUACCCUGGUAGUCCACGCCGUAAACGGUGGGCACUAGGUGUGGGCGACAUUCCACGUCGUCCGUGCCGCAGCUAACGCAUUAAAUGCCCCGCCUGGGGAGUACCGCCG
rnacentral:rRNA from 1 species